AAAGAUUAAGCCAUGCAUGUCUAAGUACAGGCCGACCCAAGGCGAAACCGCAAAUGGCUCAUUAAAUCAGUCAUGAUUCAUUGGAUGUUGUAAAACCCUUUACUCGGAUAACUGUGGUAAUUCUAGAGCUAAUACGUGCAAUCGAGCUCCGACCCCGCCGUCAAAGGCGGGGGAAGGGCGCAGUUAUUAGAUUCAAAACCGGGCGGACUUCGGUCUGUCUCCCAAAAAGAGGUUCUGAUGACUCUGAAUAACCUAGCCGAGCGCUGAGGCCUUGAGAGCCGGCGCCGUAUCCUCCGAGUGUCUGCCUUAUCAGCUGUCGAUUGUAGGUUAUACGCCUACAAUGGCUGUAACGGGUAACGGGGAAUCGGGGUUCGAUUCCGGAGAGGGAGCCUGAGAAACGGCUACCACAUCUAAGGAAGGCAGCAGGCACGCAAAUUACCCACUCCCGGCUCGGGGAGGUAGUGACGAAAAAUAACGAUGCGGGACUCUUCCGAGGCCUCGCAAUCGGAAUGAGUCCACUCUAAACACUUGGACGAGGAUCCAUUGGAGGGCAAGUCUGGUGCCAGCAGCCGCGGUAAUUCCAGCUCCAAUAGCGUAUAUUAAAGUUGCUGCGGUUAAAAAGCUCGUAGUUGGACUUUGGAUUCGGACCGGCGGCCCACCCAAGGCGCGCCCUCGCCGUUCGCGGGUCGGUUCUUUCCCCAAACGCGCUUUAGCUCGUCCCGCGAGCUCCGCACGCUAUCCUAUCAAUGAGUGCAUCCCACUAUCGGACUUACUCCGUCUCUUUACCCUGAUCGAGGUAAAAGGCCCUUCGACCACCAACGCUAGUCGCGAUUCCUCCCUUUAGCGAGCGAUCCCCGAUGGCGUGUCUAGGGUCCGACCUCCGCGCCUCGUUCGAACGUGCUGUCGUUCCCCGGACCGGCGUCUCUCGCUCUGCCCUCCAUUUUUCGAUCGUAGGGUCGCGCGCCUCUUUCGGGAGCGCCGCGGUCCCUCUUUCGAAGGAGAAGCAUCGAGUUUCGCCACCGGGGUUCACAACGCUCGUUUCGAGAACGCGCGUCGGACAAAAAACCUAGCUCGCUUUGUUCGAGGUCGGCUCGCGGGGCUCCAAGGGCGCCGGCUUAGUAGUUGGAAUCAUGGUAGUCGCGGCGCUCCCUCCGAUCGUUAAGGGGUGGGAAUCAACGGUUUACGUUCCGAGGGUUGUUGCUUAAGGGGCGUGGCACGCGAGUCCCGGGGAUAAAAAGCGGGCGAGCGCAAGGGUUUGUAAUCCGGCUCCGCCGCGCGGGUAAGCGCGCCCGGUGGUUCACUGCCCGGCUCCGAAUUAUGAAAAGCCGUCGGUUCUCACGGGGUGCUCUUCACCGAGUGUCCCGCGUGGCCGACACGUUCACUUUGAAAAAAUUAGAGUGCUCAAAGCAGGCAAUGAUUAACGCCUGAAUGGUGAUGCAUGGAAUGAUGGAACAGGACCUCGGUUCCGCCCUUUUUACUCGGUUUUCCGAACCCGAGGUAAUGAUUAACGGAAACGGACGGGGGCAUUAGUAUUGCGACGCUAGAGGUGAAAUUCUUGGACCGUCGCAAGACUAACUACUGCGAAAGCAUUUGCCAAGAACGCUUUCAUUAGUCAAGAACGAAAGUUAGAGGAUCGAAGGCGAUCAGAUACCGCCCUAGUUCUAACCUUAAACGAUGCUAACUGGCGAUUCGCUUACGUCAUUCCCACGACUGAGCGAGGAGCCCCCGGGAAACCAAAGUCUUUGAGUUCCGGGGGAAGUAUGGUUGCAAAUCUGAAACUUAAAGGAAUUGACGGAAGGGCACCACCAGGAGUGGAGCCUGCGGCUUAAUUUGACUCAACACGGGAAACCUCACCAGGCCCGGACACCGGAAGGAUUGACAGAUUGAGAGCUCUUUCUCGAUUCGGUGGGUGGUGGUGCAUGGCCGUUCUUAGUUGGUGGAGCGAUCUGUCUGGUUGAUUCCGAUAACGA
rnacentral:rRNA from 1 species